rnacentral:rRNA from 1 species
AGAGUUUGAUCCUGGCUCAGAUUGAACGCUGGCGGCAUGCCUUACACAUGCAAGUCGAACGGCAGCGCGGGGCAACCUGGCGGCGAGUGGCGAACGGGUGAGUAAUAUAUCGGAACGUACCCUGGAGUGGGGGAUAACGUAGCGAAAGUUACGCUAAUACCGCAUACGAUCUAAGGAUGAAAGUGGGGGAUCGCAAGACCUCAUGCUCCUGGAGCGGCCGAUAUCUGAUUAGCUAGUUGGUGGGGUAAAGGCCUACCAAGGCAUCGAUCAGUAGCUGGUCUGAGAGGACGACCAGCCACACUGGGACUGAGACACGGCCCAGACUCCUACGGGAGGCAGCAGUGGGGAAUUUUGGACAAUGGGGGCAACCCUGAUCCAGCAAUGCCGCGUGAGUGAAGAAGGCCUUCGGGUUGUAAAGCUCUUUUGUCAGGGAAGAAACGGUGGUUUCUAAUACAGACCACUAAUGACGGUACCUGAAGAAUAAGCACCGGCUAACUACGUGCCACAGCCCGCGGUAAUACGUAGGGUGCAAGCGUUAAUCGGAAUUACUGGGCGUAAAGCGUGCGCAGGCGGUUUUGUAAGUCUGUCNUGAAAUCCCCGGCUCAACCUGGGAAUUGCGAUGGAAACCGCAAGGCU